UGAGCAACCUGCCCUUGACUCUGGAAUAACAGUUGGAAACAGCUGCUAAUACCGGAUACGACCUCCGACGGCAUCAUCUGGAGGUGGAAAGCUCCGACGGUCAAGGAUGGGCUCGCGGCCUAUCAGCUUGUUGGUGAGGUAACGGCUCACCAAAGCGACGACGGGUAGCCGGCCUGAGAGGGUGACCGGCCACACUGGGACUGAGACACGGCCCAGACUCCUACGGGAGCAG
rnacentral:rRNA from 1 species